GCCGGGAGUUCUCCCAGCACGGCCUCCAUGGCAGCGAGCUGGGCAGGCUGGCCCAGUGGGGACUCAGGGAGCAUGUGGACAAGAGCUUGGACUGAAAGACCCACACCCAAAAAGACGAAGGAGCAGCAGAUGGCAACACCCCAUGAUGAUGAGGCACCCAGCACCCUGUGACAUGAGGGACCCAGCACCCUGCAAUGGUGAGGCACUCAGCACCCAUCAUGGCCUUUCUCCUUCUCAGAUUGAACUCCUGCAGUCAGUAGUUUCCUUGCAGUUGGAAAUUUCCAAAGUGUUUUCAAACUAAGUAUCCCAUCUGAGGCUCUCAGGCACUCUGGAGGACUCUCCGGGCAGAGAUUUUAUCGACUCAAUUUUUCCCGUCAGCAAACUGAGGAUCAAGGAAGCCAGGCCUGCCUGCCCUGUCCUCCUGGUAUCCCUCCAUGGCCUCUCUUGCACAACUUCUGGGUAUGCAAAGAAGGAGACAUGAGCGCUGCCUCCUGAAGUUCACAUCUUGCUGUGCUGCCUGAAUGGGGGUAGGAGAC
rnacentral:lncRNA from 10 species